AGAGGGAACUGGAGCCUUUCUUGCUAAGCUUUUUGUUUAGUGAGGGAGCAAGCCAGCCUGGGCAGUUGGAAAAACUUCCCACCCUCUCCUUUCUCCCCUAGGGCAGGGAGGCUUCAGGCUUCUUGAGCUGUGAUAUGUUGUAAAAGACUCUUCUGCUGGCUCUGCUGCUGCAUGGUUUUAUAUCUGUGGGGCAGAAGGCUUCAUUAGCACACAAAGCUUCUGGUAAAUGUGCCUCUAAAAGAUCUUUCCCUCCUUCAGGAGAGUGCCAAGCUCCUCUCAGCAAGACUCUGGACAAGACCCUUUUCUCCAAUUCUGCCCACCACUGCCAUGGUGACCUCCUUUGCUAUGUGAGGGAGAAUGUAUCCUGCAGUUCUGGACAAGCUCCACAUCUGCACCCUGCUGUGGGCCACAGCUCUGUGCAGCCUCCUUACUUCCAAAAAGCUCGGCUUUUCACCCGCUCCUCUCUGUGGGGGGAAGUAGCUCCUUUGGGAGCUUCGAGAUGAAGCUGAGAUCAAGUGAGGCUGAACAUUCCUCUCCUGCUUCUGCUGCAGACGACUUCCACUGCUGCUCCGUGUGCUGUAGAGUCUGGUGCUCACACCCUCAGCGCUCCUCGGCAGCUCCUUCAGAGACCUGCUCAGCUGCUUGCCUUUGCUGUGGAACAUCUCACGCUUGUGGACAGGAUUUCUCUCUUGGGGAGAGUGGCUCUGUACCCAGAAGUGUGUCAGGAGUACUUGGAGGUCUGCUACCCUCCUCAUGUUCCAGGUCUUCAUUGCAUUGGAAGAGGAGACUAUAGUGUGAGAUGAAAACCCGGAGGCGCUGCACACACACCAGCAGCAGGCACUUAGAAUCUGAGAAAUCAACAGCAGAAAGGCUUUCCCUGCCAAACAUCAAUCCUUGGCAUUGACCAUCAGGUAUUGGACACUUCAGGGACACAGGUUUGUCCUCACAUCUCAGCUGCAAGUAUGAAAAUAGAGUUUAAUAUUUUCGUACCUGGACCUGCUAUGACUUUCACACCUCCUUCUCCCAUUGGCAUGAUCCUGGUGUCAGACACUGUUGAAGAACAAAGCACUAUAGGAACAAAGAUCCAGUCUGCAUCCCUUUCCUUGGAGGAGGCAAGCAAGAGCUUUGGGGACUGUUCACAAAGCAACAUCUCCUGAAUCCAGGCCAGCACCAAGGCUGCUAUCCUGAGACACUGUGCUGAGAUGU